rnacentral:rRNA from 1 species
CCUACGGGGGGCUGCAGUGAGGAAUAUUGGUCAAUGGGCGCAAGCCUGAACCAGCCAAGUCGCGUGAGGGAUGACGGUCCUAUGGAUUGUAAACCUCUUUUGUCGGGGAGCAAGGCGCGCCACGUGUGGCGGGAAGGAGAGUACCCGUAGGAAAAGCAUCGGCUAACUCCGUGCCAGCAGCCGCGGUAAUACGGAGGAUUCAAGCGUUAUCCGGAUUUAUUGGGUUUAAAGGGUGCGUAGGCGGUCGGAUAAGUUAGAGGUGAAAUCCCGAGGCUCAACUUCGGAAUUGCAUCUGUUACUGUUCGGCUAGAGUGCAGUUGCGGUAGGCGGAAUGUAUGGUGUAGCGGUGAAAUGCUUAGAUAUCAUGAAGAACACCGAUUGCGAAGGCAGCUGACCGGGCUACUUCUGACGUUGAGGCUCGAAAGCGUGGGGAGCAAACAGGAUUAGAUACCCGUGUAGUC